AUGGCUACUCUCCACGUGUUCCUCAGCCUCCUCCUCCUCAUCUCCGUGCAAACUAUUCCUCCUACCGCAGCCACAGAAAACGAUACUCUGGCGCCAGGCCAGUCAUUUGCCGUCGGCGACAAGCUCGUUUCCAGCACCGGCAAGUUCGCGCUUGGCUUCUUCCAGCCCGGCGCCGGCAACGUUAGUAAGUCAUCUACCUCUCCCGGUUGGUACCUUGCCAUAUGGUUCAAUAAGAUCAAUGUCAUUACCCCGGUCUGGGUCGCCAACCCGGAGAGGCCGAUCGCCGGACUCGACCUGAGAGCAACACAGCUCCAAAUUUCAGAAGAUGGCAACCUUGUCAUCUUAAACAACGCCACCCAGUCCGUCGUCUGGUCCAGCCACAUCACCAGCAGUAACAAAACCAACACCACCUCCACCAGCAGCAGCGGCAAGGCCAUCCUUUUGGGCAGUGGAAACCUCGUCAUAGAAAGCCCGUCAAGUGAGGUGCUGUGGCAGAGCUUCGACGACCCAACCGACGUGGCGCUCCCCGGCGCCAAGAUCGGCUGGAACAAGGUCACCGGCCUGAACCGCGUCGGCAUCUCGUGGAAGAGCCGGGUCGACCCGGAUCUCGGCUCCUUCAGCGUGGGGCUGGAAACCAAUGGCACCAGGAUGGUGAUGGUGGGGCACCGAGGCUACCCUUCCCAAGUGUACUGGUCGUGGUCGCCCGAAGAGUCGCCGAUGCAGAUGCCAGCACUCCGAGCGCUGCUGAAGAUAAACCCACAGACCAGAGGGUUGGUCGUCCCGGAAUCCGUGGACAACAGCGAGGAGGAGUACUACAUGUACACCUCACCGGACGAGGCCUCCUCCACGUUCCUCUCCCUCGACACGUCUGGUCAGACCAAGCUGAACGUGUGGUCGCAGGCCAACCAGGCAUGGCAGACCAUCUACGUCCAGCCCAUCGAUCUCUGCCGCCCAUACGCCACCUGCGGACCGUUCACCGUCUGCACCGGCAGCGCGCAGCCGCCCUGCGAGUGCAUGGAGAGCUUCUCCAGGACGUCGCCUCAGGAUUGGGAGCUGGGUGAUCGGACAGGAGGGUGCUCCAGACGCACUCCGCUGGAUUGCAAUGGCAACAGGAGUUCGACAGACGUGUUCCACCCCAUAGCUCGUGUCACAUUGCCCUACGGCCCCCGGAGCUCACAGGAUGCUCCUGCAACUCGGGGCGAAUGCGAAUCGGCCUGUCUCAGCAACUGCUCCUGCACUGCUUACUCCUACGAAGACAGCAAAUGCUCUGUUUGGCAUGGGGAGUUGUUCAGUGUAAACAAGGAUGAUGGCAUCGAGAUCCGCUCUGAAUAUACUCUGUACAUUCGCCUUGCCGCCAGAGAUUUCCCAAGUUCCACAAGAGAUAAAAGAAAACCAGUACUAACCGGAGUUGUUAUUGCUGCAAGCGUUAUCGGUUUUGGGUUGCUAAUGCUCAUGCUGCUACUAGUGAUCUCAAGGAACAGAUUCAGCUGGUGUGGUGUGUCCUCAAAUGCCACCAAUGAAGGUAGUGUUGGCGUUGUUGCCUUUGGAUACGCCAACUUGGGCCGUGCUACAAAAAACUUCACAGAGAAGCUGGGAGCCGGAGGUUUUGGUACUGUAUUCAAGGGAGCUUUAAGUGACCAGACUAGUGUAACAGUGAAAAGGCUUGAAGGUGCGAGUCAGGGAGAGAAGCAAUUCAGGGCAGAGGUAAGUGCACUUGGACUGAUCCAGCACAUCAACCAGGUGAAAUUGGUUGGUUUCUGCUGUCAUGGUGAAGAGGCUACUUGUAUAUGA
rnacentral:rRNA from 1 species